rnacentral:rRNA from 1 species
GAUGAACGCUGGCGGCGUGCCUAAUACAUGCAAGUCGAGCGAACAGACGAGGAGCUUGCUCCUCUGACGUUAGCGGCGGACGGGUGAGUAACACGUGGAUAACCUACCUAUAAGACUGGGAUAACUUCGGGAAACCGGAGCUAAUACCGGAUAAUAUAUUGAACCGCAUGGUUCAAUAGUGAAAGACGGUUUUGCUGUCACUUAUAGAUGGAUCCGCGCCGCAUUAGCUAGUUGGUAAGGUAACGGCUUACCAAGGCAACGAUGCGUAGCCGACCUGAGAGGGUGAGCGGCCACACUGGAACUGAGACACGGGCCAGACUACUACGGGAGGCAGCAGCAGGGAAGAGUGGGCAAUGGGCGAAAGCCUGACGGAGCAAGGCCGCGUGAGUGAUGAAGGGCUUCGGGUCGUAAAACUCUGUUAUUGGGGAAGAACAAAUGUGUAAGUAACUAUGCACGUCUUGACGGUACCUAAUCAGAAAGCAACGGCUAACUACGUG